GGAGGCCGGCUGAGGGAAGGGGCGGCGAAGGCGGAGCCGCAGCAAGGAGGCCGGGUCGAGCGCUGGGCUCGUGAGGAGCUGGUUGCUUUGAAGCACGCUGAUAGGAAUUUUUCAGUGUGGAAUCCUGAUACUAAAAACUGGGCUAAAUCUACCUCUGAUUAGUCCAAGGAUACAGGAGGACAGAGGGAAAGACACCUAACAUGUCAAGGACCUUGAGGAGCUGGAACUAGUGCUGAGGAUCUCCUUGAGAGGCCAUCAGGAGGAGACACCUGCUGAGGAACAUUUUUGCUGUCACGGGAGAAGGUGGGCCCGGCUUCCAGUCCUCAGGAAUACUGGCACCAAAAGGUCCGGGUCUUGGCUGAAGAACAAUAGCAUAGUAUGUGUUGACAGACUCAAGAGUCAUUGCGUGGCUUGUAAGCAAGCAAUUCCUGAAACAUCUUCACUACCAGCAGCUGUGGUUAGGGUGUGGUCUACAAGAAGGGAGUUUACAAGGUCUCCCUCUCGGGCCUUCUGUUCUCUGGAAACAACAUAGGUUUUGGGCUCCUUGGUGUAAUUUGCAUGCUUUGCUGUGUUGUAUCUUGCCUGAACUCCCUGUGAUAUUGACCUUUGACCGUUGCUUGACUUUGCCUCUGGAUCAUGUUUUGGACCUGAAAUUAUCCCCUCCGCUUGACCCUGGUUUGUUUGGACUGUGCUGCACCUUCAGCUUUGCUCUCCUUGGUGAAUAUUUUGCCAAGUUGCUUCUAAAUCCUGUGAGGGCCCUGAGGACACCCACUGGAAUGUGACACAGCAAGAAGGAAUUGCAGCUGUUCACUUAAGACUAGGGAAAGUAAAGGGGUACGCCCAGGUGAGUGGUUCCUUGUCCCUGGAUGGACUGUAAGAAUUUACAGUAGCUUAUUCCUAUCUGCAUAGCUCCAUCCUGGGUUUUAUUACUUGGUCACAUUAAGUGUGCUGCUAUGUUGGAACUGAUUGAUCUGGCCUAGUUAUCUCUGAAAGAACCAGCAAAAUAAUAUAUGUUAUUCUUGGCUUGUUUUUUUACUGCAAUUUAUCUGCAGGCUAAAGAAUACUAAUUAUCCUACAAAAAGAGAGAAAAAGACUCAGUAAAGGAAUAUAGUAAAAGAAAUUUAGGGAAGUUUUUAGUGUUUUAUUGUGCUUUUAAUUCUUUUGGGAGCUGCCCAGAGUGGCUGGGGAAACCCAGCCAGAUGGGCGGGGUAUAAAUAAUAAAAUUUAUUAUUAUUAUUAUUAUUAUUAUUAUUAUUAAGUGAUGGAGGGGAAGCAGCAAUAACAAGAGGAAUGCCAAAAAGUAGAACACGAUGGACGAGAUAAAGCUAUUCAAUUAAUAUCAAAAACCCUAAACAACUUGGACCCCUAAUAAGUUUUUAUAUAAGCCCAAGAGCUUCUGCAUGCCUGGGGUAAUUCUUAUUUCCUUUUGGAUUGAAGAUCCUCUUGCCAUAUAACAAACUGCUUUUUAACUUCUCUCAUUUUCAAAAGUUUCAAAAGUUUCUCAUGUAGUGUGAGCAAAAGGAGGGACAGCUGUUUAAGAUACACAAGUCUCAGUCUUCUUUAAUGUACAAAACUCUGCAUGGUUCUUAUGCAUUGCCAGGCGUAAUUUUAAAGUUUGUUCACACAUUUUAAUCUAUGCAGGGUAUGGACUUCAUGCCACAGGCAGUAAGUGCAUAAAAUGUUUACCGUGGGUACUAGACCUAAUUGACCCAUGUUAGCCGCUGAAAUCAAUUACUAAUUUUGUUGUUCAGCUUUCUGUUUCAUUAGUGCUUCCAAAAGUACUGACUUUUGGCCAUUCUAUAUCCAAUUAUCUAAACCCUGAAGAAUCCACCUCCCUGUGCUUCUUCAUAUUUUGCUGGUGAGAUCAUGUUGUUCCUUGACAUAAUUGACACAUUGCUGUGCAGCUUCAAACAAAGUCUAACCAAGGCUGCAGUUGUGACUAUUGAUUGUGGAGAGCAAUGACAAUAAGAUUUCUCUUCAGUUGCUCUAAAACGGCAACCAGUGUGUGUCUGUAUAAUGGGGGAAGGGGUUAACUGCAAAUAAAAUACUACAAAUAAAAUUUACUAAAACAGAUGGGCAAAAUUGAUAUUUAUUUAUUUUAAUUACUGCACAUGGAACCCUUCAUCAGGCGGAAUGGAAAGGUGAUUUGUUUUCCACUUAGGUUGUCUCUGCACUCAGAGGCUGGUGCCCAUUGAGACUGCUAGGGCAAAAGGAAGGGAGCCCAACAGUAGGUGGAGCCAGAGCCAAUGACAGGCAGAGUCAACUAAUUAUAGUUUCAUCUCCAUCCUCCUUCCUGCUGAAUUCUUCAGUGGCAACGCUGCCAGAAGCUGCCAGCCAGUGCCAUUCUCUAGAGUCUAGACUGGCUGUAAUUGCUCCAUCAACCCUCCACUGAUCCGCAUUAUACACAAAAUCUGGAUCCCCAGGGGAUUGGAUUUUGUUCUCCAUCCCAUGUCUACAUAAAAGCAGUGCCAGGGCAGGGAUUAGGAUUAGCCUGUUUAGGCAGGAUAACUCCUCCUAUCUAAUUUCCAGGGUAAUUCUCCAUAAGGGAGAGGACACCCUAGAUGUGUAGCAUUUGGUUAAGAAAUAAAGCUUUUAAACUUCCAUUGAUGUUUGGUUGUUUAUCCUAAUAUCCUUGCAUUGCCUUUCAAAUAAAACUCCUCGGCUGUGUUCCCAGACCUGAAAACCUUGUCACACACAGCAAGGCUGUUGUUUUGAAGUUCCAACUCUCAAAUGGGAUCGUAGCAAAACAACAACUUCAUUGUGCAUCUUCUCAUAGCUCUACAAUUUCUGUGGUUAAUCGGAAAAAUAAUUGAAGUUAAUGUGUUGAGAAUUAUCCAAAGCUUAUUCCACAUUACUUUUUUUGUCAGCAGAGACUGGUGUAAUAAACUACGUGAAAGCUGCAUGUAAUUCUUAAAAUUAAGUAUCUGACUGGCAUUUCUCUGUGAAUUUUUAAGUAUGCUAAUUGCUACAGAUACCAAAUGUUCUUUUCAGAUAUGCCCUCAAUAAUGGCAAGUGAAGCAACAAUUUAAAACUGAGGGUACAUCUUUCUGACAUUUAAGAUUACAGCUUGGCGCUUGAAUAACUCUGUCAAGACCUUAACUGUGCUCAUUUAUUCAAUAUUUAAAGUUCUUGUGAUAAAGACACUUCUGUAUCUACUGGUGCUCGGUGGAAAUUAAGAAGGAAUUUCAGAAAUUAAAAUCACAUUUAUUUCCUUUGAUGUCUUAUCAGGACUAUAAAAGCUUUGUUCUCUAUGUGGCCUACUGUCACGGCUCUCAAAGUGUGAGAAUGAGAUACAGGAAGUUGCUAAGGAGAUUGGAGCAAUUGCCAAACCCUUCCAAGUCUAGUUCUGUGAAUUAUUUCAUUGGAACAGGAAACAAAGUGCUCU